CAGGUGCUCAGCUCAGCCAGGCGCCUCUCAGAAAGCGAGACCACCCAUGGCUUCCCCUCCGAAGCGGGUAGCAGAACAGGACUGAACAAGGUGAUGGGGGGGUGGCGCUGGGAUCCCCAACUGACAACACUUGGGCAGCCUCCUCUCCGCUGGGGUCCUGCGGGAGGCCCCGGCCAGCCCGGGCCUUGGAAUACACCCUCUGCAUCCGCCAGGUGGUUCUCAAGGCUCGCUCCCCAGACCCGCAGAACCAGCAGCACCUGGGAACUUACUAGAAAUGCAAAUACUCGGGCCCCGCCCCCAGACCCGAAAAUCAGCAACUCCGGGGGCGGGACCCAGCCACGGAGGGGGUUUAAUAAGCCCGCCAGGUGAUUCGGUUGCCUGCUCCGGUGGAUUGAGGGCCACUGCUGUGCCGGGAGCCGCUUUCAAGGACCUGGGCUCCUUCCGGCUCCUCCCGCAGGAGCCUGGAGGUUGGGGCCAGGAUGCCUGUCUCCAUCAACACUGUGGUCCCUAACUAACGAGCGAGCAUCAGGAGUGAACACACAGAUGGGAAGAUUCAGCCGCAUCAACAAAUAGCAAGGUCUGUGGAGAAGACAGCUGCCAUGUCACGAGGACACUCAAGCGACCCUGGUGGAGAAGUCUACAUGGCGAACAAAGUCCUCCCCCACCAAUAACCAUGUGAGGAAAUCGUGACUCCGAGAGGUCAACGCUCCGGGAUGUCCUAGCAAAGCCACCGGCAAAGGCAGAGGGACGGUUUCGUCUUCCCGGCUGGCAACGCUGCUCCUUCAACUCCCGUCCCCCUCCCAGCUGUGUGCAUCUGAGUCCUCUAGGGACCUCACACGGAUAACAGGGAGGGGGCUACUAAAGACAGACAGCAACAGUGCUAAACCAUCUGAUCGCCUGGGGACAAAGGAGACAGGAAAACUAAAAAAACCAUGAUGCACUGCGCUGUGACAUUUCCGACAGACCCCCCAAUCAAAACGGCCAGAAUAAAGUAAGCGUCCAGUUUUUGUAAAGAUGAGCCUCCGUUACCUAGAAAACUUAACUGUUUUUGAAGAAUCUGGUGUCAGCAGAGCUAUUUAUAAUUGAAAUGUCAAGCGCCAUUAUGUUUUGAAUCAAAAAGCCUAGCAAGGCAUUCAAAGAUAGAUUAAAAAAUCUAUCAGUUGGAUGAAUCACCACUGGUGUGUUCCCCAAGCAGGGGGAGCAGGGGAAGUCUUGGGUAAGACUAACUCCUAGAUUUCCCAAAUGUUGGGAAAACCACCAUCUCAAACGCAAGGGUGGUCCUCUUGUGUAGGCAGAAGCUGGGAUUUUAACCCAACGGCACCUUGCUGCAUUCGUUUAAGGAAACCCUCUAAAGGGUCUUUGAUUCUGUCAACGUGUCCCCUGCUAGGGAAACGGGGGAGCUUUGCUUCUCUGCAUGGUAAUGUAAACCAGUGUCUUCCCCAAGGGCAGGGCUGUAUCAGGGCAGGGCCUCAAAUUGUUUCUACUGGGACCGCGUGUGACGGACGUGGUCUUGUCCAAGACUGGGGACACUUAUCAGAGGGUCCAGGAAAGAUGUCUACAGGCUUAUCUUCACUGCCAGCUGGCGGAGGUCCCCUAAAGGCAGACAGAUAGGUAUGACCUGAGUCAAUCCUUAAAAUUCCCCCAGGCCACAUUAUUCUAGAACAACCGUGUCAUCUAGACUUUUGGAAAUGUGCUGAUUCCAGAAUAUUGCUCGGAUGCCCUUUGGGGACAAAGAGCAGGACCACAUUCUUCCGGGUGUGGGUGGGGUUUACCCAAAAAGGAAUGGAUGCUCCCAUAAAUGUCACCCUGGGGUCCCCGAAAUAGGAACUUGGAAGGCGCCUUAGACUCUCCAAGGGAAAAACCAUUUCUCGUUCUUGGAGCCUUGUGGUCUGAAAAGCCUAGACUCUAGGGAGGGUUUCCCCCAGUUACUCCCCCCGUGGGAGAUUGUUGAAAUCUGCACGGGGGGACGUGACAAGGGCCACAGAAAGACACCAGGAGGGGACAGGGUUCCCAGUUCACAUGCCGGAUGCUGUGGUACGGUUGCAUUCCCGAUCAACAACAGAUAAUAUUUUAACAUAAGUACAUCCCAAAUAUUGCAUGGUUCCUAAUAUUGCACAGGAAAUACUUACACUGCAAAACCAUUUGUUGUUUAUUUGAAGUUGAAAUUGUGUAGGCUCUUGUGCGCGUCUCUUCUGGAGUUCGGGAAAACUUGCAGAGGAGAACCCAGGAAAAGU